rnacentral:misc_RNA from 1 species
GAAAUGCGAUAUGUAAUGCGAAUUGCAGAAUUCAGUGAAUCAUCAAAUCUUUGAACGCAAAUGGCGCUCUCGGGAUAGACCUGGGAGCACGCCUCUCUGAGUAUCGGUUCAACCACAACUCACCAGCGUGCUUGCGAAAGCAUGUCUGUGUGGAAAAUGAGAGUCUGAACUGCUAAGGUUUAGUCUUUUGAAAUAUGUUGAGCUUAGAUCUCCUAGUAUUCGGGCAACCGAUAGCCUGAUUGGCCUUUUCUACUAGUGACGUGGAUAAUAUCACCUUGGUGAUUGAAACGUCUGCUAUACUGAAAAAUCAGUCAAUCUGUGUGAACCAUUAGGAAAUUGACAGCGCAAAAUUGAAUCCGUUGCAGCUUGCUGUAACGUUCUGAAAUUAGAUCUCAGAUGA